rnacentral:rRNA from 1 species
AUACGAAAGGUGCAAGCGUUGUUCGGAUUUACUGGGCGUAAAGAGAGUGUAGGUUGUUUACUAAGUCGGAUGUGAAAUCCCGGGGCUCAACCUCGGAACUGCAUUCGAUACUGGUAGACUAGAGUUCGGGAGGGGUAAGCGGAAUUCCGUGUGUAGCAGUGAAAUGCGUAGAUAUACGGAGGAACACCUGAGGCGAAGGCGGCUUACUGGACCGAUACUGACACUGAGACUCGAAAGCGAGGGUAGCAAACAGGAUUAGAAACCCGAGUAGUCC